AUUACGUUUCAUUUCUUAAGUUGCAAAUUGUAUGCUUGUUGGACUAUGAAAGGUGUAUUGUGAUAACUAAACCAUUCUUGUGGAUGAAGAUGGUUUUUGGAAAAGGAUAUUGUCGGCAAGAUGAAAAAGACGUAACCCAGAGGACAUCACAAGGAUCUGUCAUAUGUAAUGUUGUUAGGAUUGGAACUCAUCUAUAAAGAGUGUGACAUACAUGGUCACAAAUUUCCUUUAUCUAUUGAGAAGACUUUUUGCGGGAAUACUAUUUUACCUACACGUAAUUGAUUUGUAUUUAAGAAUCGGAAAUCGAACCAGUGACCUCCAUGUUGGUUGCAAAGCGAGCGCCCUAACCACCAGGCGCAGGCUAUCGCAACCAGUUUAUACGAUUUGUAGAAAAUGAGAAGAAUUCUGAUGAAUUUGAAUGAUUUUGCAUAUUAUUAAAUGAUUUAGAGAUAAAAAUAUGUACAUCUGAUAGACAUUUGAUUUAGGUAUCAAACAUGAUAUGAUUGUUUUAGUAAUGGUGCCAAAAAUCUACAGGUAAGUGAAGAUGUUGAAUAGUUAUUAUAUUGAAUGCAAGUAGUACACCGAAAAGAAAAUAUUUUUCUCAUAGAUAAUGUCAAGACGUAUGUGAAAAAAAAAUCAAAUUGGCGAUUCCGUUUGCAUGGAUUUUAUUCCCAUGAAGACAACAAUAUUGGAACCAUUCUCCAAACAAGUUCAACAUCAUUUAAAAUAUUUCAUCAAAGACUCUAUUAAAUAGUUUUUGUUUGUAUUUUUGUAUUUGUUGAAAUUUACAAGUGGGCUACAAAGUACAUUGUACUAAAGUAUCUUCAUCUAAUUUCAGUUUAGGUCCUUGUACUCACGGGAAAGGAGGUGCAUUGCUUCUUUGAAUUAAAUUUUUUACAAAUACAUA